AAAAGUGGUUCUGAACUGUCGGACGUUAUACGGAGAUGAUCUGAACGUCAAUCUGACAACGCGUGUUUGCUGGAUCAAUUGAUGGCAGAAGGUAGAUGAUCUUGUCUUUGAAAAGUCUGCACAACACUGCACCAUCAAGUGUUCUACCUUCCUCCAACACUGUUUGACCAACCUGGUGUGUUCCAGGAUCUCAUGUGCAGCCCACUCCUUCCGAAACUGCACGGCAGACACUAUAUGACCUUGCUCU